GAUGAACGCUGGCGGCGUGCCUAAUACAUGCAAGUCGAGCGAACAGACGAGGAGCUUGCUCCUCUGACGUUAGCGGCGGACGGGUGAGUAACACGUGGAUAACCUACCUAUAAGACUGGGAUAACUUCGGGAAACCGGAGCUAAUACCGGAUAACAUGUUGAACCGCAUGGUUCAACAGUGAAAGACGGUCUUGCUGUCACUUAUAGAUGGAUCCGCGCCGCAUUAGCUAGUUGGUAAGGUAACGGCUUACCAAGGCAACGAUGCGUAGCCGACCUGAGAGGGUGAUCGGCCACACUGGAACUGAGACACGGUCCAGACUCCUACGGGAGGCAGCAGUAGGGAAUCUUCCGCAAUGGGCGAAAUCCUGACGGAGCAACGCCGCGUGAGUGAAGAAGGUCUUCGGAUCGUAAAACUCUGUUAUUAGGGAAGAACAAAUGUGUAAGUAACUAUGCACGUCUUGACGGUACCUAAUCAGAAAGCCACGGCUAACUACGU
rnacentral:rRNA from 1 species